rnacentral:lncRNA from 1 species
UUAUUUAUUAAUCUAGCUCUACAACUCAGCCUUAUUUAAUAAUCUAGCUCUACAACUCAGCUUGCCUAUAACGUGAUUAGCAAAUCUAGUAUUCUUAUAAAGCAGAGCUUCAAAUUUUUAAGAUCAGUUUCUCUCCUAAGCAACACACAAAUAGUGGAAUACAAAUAAUUGAAACUCUGUAAUUUCUACGAGUUGGGUUAAGCAAGUAAGAGUUAGAAGAAUACUCAAAUUUGGGGUUAUUAAGGAAGAAGAGCUGGAACAAAAGAAAACUGACGCCAACGACACAGAGACUUAGAAAUUUAAAGGUAAUAUCUCUCUAUACAGUAUACUGAGUAUAGUAAAGAUGCAUGUAUGUGAAAGAAGUGUGUUAAGUUUUGGUUGAUGAAAAUCUAUAUGAGAUAUAUAUCUGUGAUGUUGGGUUAAAUGGUUGAAUAAAUUUAACUGAUAAGACAAUUGGUAAGUUUAACUUUCAUAACAACUGACCAUGCAUGGGUUAUUGAAAUCCACUGUUAGUUUGUUGAUAUCAAACUUUUAAAAUAAUGGAAGGCUAUUAUAUAUUUAUUUGUUUUGUUUACAGUUAAUACGUUUGGCUUAACUGUGAAACAAACUGCUAUGGACUGGAAUUGAAUAGAGGAGAUUAGGCUUGGUUUCGUGGAGUAAUAAGGGAGCUAAACUGGGAUUUUAGAGCAAAUCAAUAGCUAUGAAAAGGGUGUUUUAAAAUUGUGCACAUAAGGUGCUUGUUAAAAUGCUUCAAUUAACUGUUUUGACUAAAAACCAAAUAUUUGAUGGAACUAAAGCUUGAGUUAUAUAUAUAUACACCUUGUAUGUGGAUAAGUAAAGUGUUGUAACAUACUAAAUGGAAGCGAAAAGUAAAUUUUAACUAAAACCAAAUGUUAAAAUUUAGCAUGUCAAGCACUUAUGCACACUGUUUGGGGGCAGCUGAACAAACUAAAUAAAAUACAAGCCUAAUGUUUUCUUGAGUAGGCUAGUAUAAUACUGAGGAAUGGGUAUAAAUAAACUUAUGAAAUAGAGUUUAUAAAAUUUGUAAAGGAGGGGAUUAGAUGAGUUGGUCGGAGCUGCUGCAGGCAGCAGCAGCCAGCGCCCUGCGCUGUGCUGUAGAGCGCUGUAGAGCCGACAGGUACUUUGACACGCUAGUUUAAUUUGCAUAGAUUGUUGAUAGCGGUAGUUGGUGUGCUACUUUAGUAUGUGAGCAUGUUGUAUAUAUCAUGCCAAAGGUAUGUAUUGAUUUCAAUAAGGAAAUAGAUUACUAGAAGUGAGAAAAAAAAUUAAGAAACUGCUGCUGUGUGAUAGCCACAAAUAGUAGCUACUGCCUAUUGGCAGCAGCAAGUAGUAGCAAGUUCCAGCAGCAGAUUGAUAUGGAGAUUUGAAUUGGGCCUAUGGUGGCUUCAUGCUAGUUUAUAAUGUGUUGAAUAAUUUGCUUAUAAAUCUCUAACACAAGGAAAUACAUGAGUUAUUAAAAAAAAGAGUUAAUAUAAUUGAGUUAUCAGAUGAGGAGUUUGGUAUUUACCAAAGCAGGCAUCAAAGUAAUAGAAGCUGCUACUCAACGGCAGCAGCAGUUGUAAUGGCUGUUUGGGCAAUGCAUGGGGGAAAACGUCCUUGCACUCCUAAAUGUUAGAUAUUAAUUACCCAUGAUAUCUGGCAAAUAUUUUCUUAAUGGGGUAAAUACAUCACCUAUCUAAUAUCUAAAACUUAUUUAUAAAUGGAUCAAAGAUGUGGCGAAUUAAAACUAAGUAAUGGGAUAUGAUUGCUGUCUUGUACAGCUGCAGAGCAGUGGCUGGAAUGGGGGGUUUCUAUUUGAGCUCUCUGACGGUAUAGGUGGAUGAUUUUAAUAAUUUAAUUAGCAUUCUAUUUAAAUAGAAAAUAUGUAAAUUUCUAUACUUUCAAAGAAUGGCUUGAAUACCUAAGUUAUAAAGAAGAUUGCAAAGUAUAUUUAUAACAAGAAAGAAGAGAAAUAUGAACUAAAAUCAUAUAAGGGUUAUGAACUGGGAAUAAGUCAAACCUAUAAAAGAAAGAAAUGGCUAUUGUAAGAAUAUGGAUGAUGUAUUUGAAAAAUAUAUAAAAUAUCUUAAAUACAAAAACAUAAACUAAAAACAAGAUCACUCUGAUUAUGUGAUAUGUGAACAUACAAGCCAUAUGACUUGGCUAUUUAAGCUAAUAUGUUGUAAAUGUAAAUAAUUGUGUAGGAUUUGUGAGAAUACACAAGUUAAAUUGAAAUUGUACCAAUAGUUUACAAAUAAGGCAAGUAUCUAAAUCGUACUCUUUAUUGAGCAAGUAUUAUGAGAUUAUUCAUAUAUGGAUAGGUUUUUUAAAUUCUGAAUUGUCUUUCAUUAUUUAUGAAUAAUAUAAGGUUAAAUAACCUUUUUAUUUCAAUCAGCUUCAAAAGAUUGGGUGAUGUAUUUUCAUGUAUAAUUCAAUAUGUAUGAGCAGAUUACAAAGAAGAAGUCUGAGCCAUCACUACAAAAAAAUGGUGAUUUUGUAACAAACAGUUUUCGUUGUUAAAUGUGCGAAAUUUCAUUGUCAAAUGUCAUUUGCAACGAUUUUUCGAUCGUUGGAUAUUUUGUUGCGCAGUGAGCGUUGCUAAUUGUACGAAUUUUUUUUUUCGUUACAGAAAGUAAUAUAUUUUGCAACGAAAUUUUGUUUUCGUGUAAAUUCGUAAAUCAUUUAGUAACGAAAUAUUUUGUAGCAAAUUUAUUAAGAAAUUGUUACUGAAAAAUAAUUUUCGUUGCAAAAUACGCCUAAUUGGCAAUGAAAAGAAUCUUUUUAUUUUUCAACAAAGAUAAAAUUUGUUGCAUUUGAUACACAUUUGCCAACGACGUUUCCCGUUACUGAACAAUAUAGAAAUUGUUGUCUUAAUUGAUUUUCGUUGCUAAUUGUGUAUUUUUUGGUAACGAUGUUUGUUGUUAAAUGUACAAAAAAAACUAAUUACAUAUUAAUUUGCAACGAAAGUUUGCGUUUUUUUAUGGAUAAUUAUGAUGAAUUAGCAACGAUACUAUUCGAAGGUGAUUGUUUUUAGAGAGCAACAAAAGUUAUUGUCAAUUAGCAACGAUACUAUACGUUAUCAUUUAUUUUUCAUGUGUAAUGAAAUUUGUUAUGAUUUGCAACGAUAUAAAUAGUCUUUUCUUUUGUUAUGUAACGAAUGUCAAAAUUAUUUUAUAAACAAAAAAAAUUGUCUCAAUAAUCCCAUAACAAAUUAUGAUAGAAAUAUAAAAAAUUAAAAUAUUAUUAAUUAAAUAAAAUCGAUCAUUCAUUAUCUUUACAAUCAAAUUUCGUACGAAUGAGUCUGUCUUAGUGUCUUAGUUGACACUAUCUGCCAUCAAGAGGUUAACAUUAAGCCAUAUAUGAAAAAAAAAAAAAACAAGAAAGGAAUGCUUAUAAUAAGAAACAAUAUUUAAGCUUACACGAGUUUCAACCAUGGUUCAUCCUUCAGGUAUUCUGCUAAUAUUAAAACAACCGGUCAUUACACCAAUAAAAAGGUUAAUUAAGAAAUUUAAAGAUAUAAUUAAGGAAUUUAAACAUAUCUUGCAAGUUGAGUGUCGGUCUCAUGAUCGUACUGAUGCUUUUAGACCUCGCAGUACACCUGAAAUGAAAUGCUGUAUUUGACUUUCAACAAUGCAUCAUCACUGGAUUAUAUGAUGAAAAAUCUACAUGUAUCAACCUACAAUCCUGCAUUGAGAGAUGAUUUUUGUUACGCUAUUUUCUAUUCAAGUAUUUGUCCUUUCAAGAUAGAAUAAUUAAACAUGGAAAAGGCAAAUGACAGGCAGGAACACAGAUAUGAAGUUUUAACCAAAAAUUGAAGGAUAAUGCUAGGAUCAGAGUAGCCAAACUAAGACCACCGACUAUAGAUUUUGAGCCUUACACCUUGAUACUUACACAGUCACACCCAAUCAGGACUUCUACUUCGUACUUCCUCUUAGAAACCAAUAAAACUAACUGCUUGUCAUGAUGUCUUAUGACAGAAGAAAAUACUAUUUUAUCCAUGUAAACCAAAUUUCUGAGACGCAACUUCAGCCCUAAAAAGGAACAACUUUUAUAACUAUUGAUAUAAAGAUUGCACCUUAAAUAAUAUUACCAAAUGGGAAUAUUGAUUAUUGACUUCAGAUAUAGUCUCUAGAUUGUUACUAGAAUUAUGUCAGUUAAAUUAAAACAAAAUAAGAGAACCGAAUUGACUUACUAUUUAGGAGAUUCCGCAAUGAACCUCUUUAACAUGACUUAAAUUGGUAAACUGGGAAGUGUGAACCUGUCCCACACUAAAUGAAAUUAUUUGCACUUGCAAUAACCAAAAUAUUGUGCCUAUUUACACUGCUUAAACCAUCUAAUGAAUGUAGAAGGUAUAGAAGUCAAGCUAAUAUUGGAAUAUUAAUGGCUAAACUUCAACAAAUAAAUAAAAUAAAGAAUAGUAGGGAAUAGCUUUACCCUUUCUAAUCCACCAUUACAUUCAGCUAUAAAAGUGAUAUGUAAGGUUUAUGUUCAGUCCAACCCUCCCAGCAAUACAAAUUGACAACUUGGCAGGACUAACAUGGCAUAAGGCUCUUUUAUUCAAAAGACAUAAACCACUGGCAAUUAAGAAAGCAACUUAGUUCAGUUCACAAAUUGAUUCAAGACACGUAGAUUUUGGAAAAUCACAAGUGGUUCAGUCCAGGUCCCAGCUAGUUACACUCCCUCUGUCUAGAAAAGAGUCCUACUUGUUUUGUGACUUUGACUACUUUUUUUUUUAAUUUAAAAAAUUAUUAUUAAACAUAAAUAUUUCUAAAUGUGUCCUAUGCAAAACACAAUAUUUAGAAGAAAAGUCAGUAAAAAAGAGGGCUUUGAUUUCUAGAGUAUUAUUUAUGAGUUAAAAUAAUAACCAUUAUGGUUUUGGGUUUGACAGAGGUCUCUGUUUUUUGUCUUGGUCUUUAUGCAUAAACAAAUCAUUCCAGAAAAAGAAAAAGGGUCCUAGAAAGCACAGAACCACUGGCCAAACAAUAUGCACAUUUAUGAUGUUUCAGAAAAAGCCCCCUAAUCCAGUUCUAGUCAAAAUAUCAUAUUCUCAUCUAUAAACACAAGUAUUUAUAAGUUCAGUAAACAUAAAACUUGAAUCGGUAUUGUCUCAUUUAAUGUUACCAUUUAUCCUAAAAUAGGAAGAUUUUGUGAGCGGCUGCAGAACCAUUCAUGAGAAAUACAGUCAACAGAGAAAUGGGUAUUUCUUUUUAAUCUCUAAAUACUCUAAAAAAAUCAAUCUAUAUAUAUAUAAACGUGACAACUAAAGUUACUUACCCUAAAAAUCCAUUAAAAAUUUUACCUCAUUUUAUAGAGGGGUAACGAAAAAAAAGGGAAAAUAAUAUCUAUACGUACGCACCUGUAGUUCGCAAACUAUGGGUUUCAAGAACAAGAGUAAGAAAUGCAAAGAACUCAUCUUCGUAGUCGAACACCCUAUGUAGAAAGGAUCUCCUCAAAGCCAACACCUGCAAACAACCAAUACCCACAAAACCUAAAAAUACAAAGAUUGAACUUAGAACUAUAAUUGAACCCUUUAUCGAAAAUCAAAGUUUAAAAUUAGAAAGGAAAAAAAAAAAAUUAACGCCUAGGGAAUAAGUGAGAGCAGCUCGGAGACUGGAGGGUAGCUGUUGAGCGGUCGCCAUCUCAAUUUUCCUUGAGGAGGAGAGAGAAACUCAAAAGGGUAGGUCGAAAACCAGAAGUAGCUUUAGAUAGCUGCGAAGAAGAUAUGUUCGAGAUCUCGGAUCACACCUGUGACGCCCUCAAAAUAGGUUCACACAAUUCAUUCUGAGUCGCCAAAUACAUGGUACAGAAAUAACUACAAUUUCAUUAUUACAAUGGGAUAAGGUCCAAAAAUGCCCCCGACAUUUUCUCCAAUGUCUACCGAGCAUCCUAUACUUUUUUUGGGUCCAAAAAUACCCUUAACGUUACAAUUUUUGGGUCAUUCGUGCCCCUGCCAUUGACAGACGUGUCAACUAGACAAACGGAAUUGACAGUUAGACAUAUUUUGUUUGUGUCAAAUAAUUAAAAUAAAAAAAUACUAUUAUAACAUCUGAUGCGUAUAAAAAUAAUAUUUUAUAUAUAUUUAAUAAUUUAUUUAUUAUGUGUAUUUUAUUAAUAAGUUUUAUUUAUUAAUAAUUGUAUUUACCAUGUGAACCACCACCACCACCACCAGUCCUCCUCCACCACCACCACCACCAGUCCACCACCACCACAUAUAAUAUAUGCAAUCUGGUUCUCCUGGACGAUCUGGAUAAGGAAUCGAAUCAGCAGUACCACCACCAUCCUGUUUUUCACUUGUCUGAACUCUAAGCCUCCUUAUAACUUCUACAAUUCCAAAAUCUCAAAAGAAAUCAACACAAACAAAUACAUAUAUAGACAACGAGGAAGAGAAUAUACAAAUCUCAGAAUUUUCAGAUAAACAUAAUUAAAAAGGAAUUUUUUUAAGUAAACAAUAGAAGAGAAGAGAAGAGAGAGAGACAGAGAUUGGGGGAAAGAUGGAGAAAUUGAAUGAAUCAGAUCCACACCACACCAGAUCUACCGCCGCCUCCUUCCGACUGCUAGCCCCUUCUUUCAUGACUGCUAUCCCCUUCUUUCUCCUCCCCCACCGCCGACUCCUUCCGUAAAAAACCUUAGAUCUGAUAUGGGUUUAGAUAGAGAAAACCUUAGAGAGAGAGAAAAUAGAUCUGAUAUAUGAUUGGGUUUAGAGAGAGACAAUGAAUAUAUUUAAUUUUUUAGUAAUUAGUAUUUUAAUAUAUCAAUUAGUUGUAUAACAUAUCAAUUAGUAAAAUACUAAAUAAAUUAGUAUAUUUAGUAAAAAGUAAAAAGUAAUAAAUUAGUAUAUUUAGUAUAUUUUUGUAAAAUAGAAUACCAAAUAUUUAGUAAAUUUUGAUAUGUUAUACUAAUAUUUAGUAAAAAGUAAAAAGUAUAUAAUACUAAUAUUUAGUAAAAUAAUUUUAAUAUUUUAGUAUUUUUUUUAAUUAACAAAAUAAUUUGAAUUUUAGUAUUUUAGUAUUUUUGUACUUUUUUUAGUAUUUUAGUAUUUUUUUUAAUUAGUAUUUUAGUAUUUUUUUUAAUUAGUAUUUAGUAUUUUUUUAAUUAGUAUUUUUAGUAUGUCCAUGUGGCUGCCACGUAAUCAAUUUGAACGGAUGUUAGUCUAGUUGGCACAACUGUUAACGGUAGGGGCACGAAUGACCCAAAACUUAUAACAUUAAGGGUAUUUUUGGACCAAAAAAAAGUAUAGGGUGCUCGGUAGACAUUGAGAAAAAUUUCAGGGUCAUUUUUGGACCUUAUCCCUUAUUACAAUUGUCGUGCAAAAUACGACAACACAUAUAUUGUGAGUUUAAAUACAAAUAUUUUUUUUAAGACAAUAUCCACACUCAAAUAAGUCCUCAUUACAAUUAUUGAUACACUAUUUUACAAAAUAGUGAGGACUGCUAAACAAUUUUCUAGAACCAUCAUUCCAUACCCCGACUAGUUCCCGUUAUAUUCUCGCCUCCUAAGAAGAAAAAUAGAACAAAAAGAAAAAGGGUGAGCUCAAUUUGCCCAGUAAAGAACAUUAUGACUAAGAUAAUGUAGAAUAAAUUAUCGUUAGUCCUUAACUGGGAAAAAUCUGAUAAAAUAUAAUAGACAACAAGUUUAGAUCAAUAUUCGCAGUGGAAAUAAUAAUUCAUUAGAAGAGUUAAGUAGAUAAUGAAGUCUACUAUCUUCUAUAAUUUUAAAGUCCAUCAUCAAUAUUUAAUCCUUGUGACAUCAAUCAAUAUACAUCUUGAACCAAAUAUUUAUCUUUGCAUUACGGGGCAAGAUAUUCAUUUAUAUCAUCAGUUGGUCAUGUUCAUCUCAACACCUGUCCAUCUUUGCAUUACGGACAAAGAUAUUCAUCAGGUAAUCAUUCAUCUUUGCACUACAGGCCAAAGAUAUUCAGUUAUAUCACCAUUUAGGAUUGAGAAUGAUGAAAAUAUUUUAAAGAAAACGAAUCUAGUGAGAUAAAAAGACAAGGAUUAGGGAUUCGUACUUUAGUUCAUCCAAGUUCAAAAAUACUCCAUAAUAAACCAUUGUGGAGCAAAAUUCAAGAAUGAAGAUCAAAACAUGGAUACAAUCAAAGCUAGUAACCAUAAUAGACAACUUGGACAAAGAAAAAAAAUUUUAAUUUUUCUGUGAAUAGUGUCGUAUACGUAAAUAGUAAACCCCGACACAAAAAGGUAAAAAUUUCACAAGAAAAAUCUUACUAAUAUUCUGGUAUAAUGAUAUUGAAAGUAAUAACAUCAUUUACCAAAAAAAAAUAACAUCCCUUACAUAAAAAGGACAGUAUUUCUGACUGGAAUAUCAGAUAUAAUACUGAAGGAAACUUGCACCGUAUAACAACACUCAAAGUAUCAAAAUACUCACAAAAAUACGCUCGAUAAUAUAGAGAGAGGAAACUUUAGAUUCUGGUGUGAUUUUCAAUUCUAACAUAAGCACUCUAUUUAUAGAAAAAUGCUUAGAACACCAAAGCAGAAAAUUUAAUAUAAUAAUAUUAUAUAAAAAAAAAUUCAUGCCCACCCUUGACAAUCUGAGUUCAACCACAAGUGGGACCCACCAAAAUGAAAAAAGCGUUUUUCUUUAAAAAAAUAUUUAAAACUCCAAAAAUCAAUUAUUCCGGAACUUCAAUAAUUCAUAAUAAAUAGCCCUUUUAUCAGAAAAAUUCGAAUCUUAUGUCCAUUCCAUAGAAAAUUUAAUUCUCUACAACUUUGUAGAAGAAAUUUUUUUCAAAUUUAAAAUAGAAAUCAACUGAAAUUCACAUACAGACAAUUUUGCAGGCUAUAAUCAAAUUUUAGUCAAAAAUGGGACCCACCAACAUAUUUAACAUGUUUUUUGUAACAAAAAUAUUCUUCCUCUUCAUUUAUUCAUAUAUCGCACAUUCAUUAUAAAAUUAUCACCAUUAUUAUAUUAUUAUAUUAUCGUAUUAUAUAUUUAUAAUGUAAUAUAAUAAUAUAUUUGAAUGAAUUAUUUUAUCAGAAAAGAUAAAAUAUCAAUUUUCAACAAUUAUCACUUUUCUAAAAAUUCUUCUAUUUAUAUCCACAUAAAAUAAAUAUUUUUCUUAUUAUAUAAAUCAAUAAUUAAUUAUUCACAAAUAAUAUUAUAGAAUCACAAUAAUGACAACCAGGUCGUUCCCAGGAAAGAGGGGGCUUUCCGAUAAGGAUUUUUUCUUACCGGCGCACAAUUAGAUGACCUAACCCCUUUUCUAAACAGAACUUCCUUAGACAUUGCCAAUAAUUCUAUCUAAUAAUAUUAUUCAAAUAAUAUAAAUUAUUGAUUUGAUAAUGGAAAAUACUGUGCAGUGACAAUUAUUGAAUCAAUAAAAUAAAAUAUCAAUGUAGCAAUUAUUGAAUCAAUAAAAUAUUGAACAGUAAUUACUGUAAUAAUUAUUGAGUAGUGACUUCUUACGUAAAAAUCAAUAAUUGGUGCAAUACCAUGUGCUACUGUGUAACACCGCGUAUUACUGUGUUUUAACCACCGGGUAUUCCAACAGUGUUAACGGUAACAACUACGCCGUUAUUUAUAAAAAAACUCAUACUUGUCGUUUUCUUCAUCCGAUCAUUUUUCGUUAUGGGGCCCACAAAAGGCUGCGCCGUCGUACGAAUAUUCCCCGACAGCAAUGAAUAUUUUAUAACUACUUGCUUAUUUAAAAUAUUUGCGAAUUUUACCCAUAAAUAACCACAUUAAUCAAAUCAAUCCCUUACUAUUUCAAAAUAAUAAAUAGAGAAAAUUCCAUUUUAUUCAUAAAAGUUGGGAUUUUACAACCUUCCCUCCUUAUGAAAUUUCGUCCUCAAAAUUGACGUACGUACCUGGUGUUUCGAAAAGGUGAGGAUACCUCGCUUUCAUUUUCGUUUCUAACUCCCAAGUCAUUUCCUCAAUAGCAUGGUUCCUCCACAAAAUUUUGACUUGUGGUAUAACCUUUCUGCGUAGGACAUGCUCCUUCCUAUCGAAGAUCUUGACAGGUACCUCCUCGUACGUUAAAUCUUCAGCUAUCCCGUCUGGUUCUAACUCAAUAAUGUGAUUUGGGUCUUUCACAUAUUUACGAAGCACAAAUAUGUGAAAAACAUUAUGAACACGAGACAUGUUUGGAGGUAAUGCGAGUCUAUAGGCCACAUUUUCUACUCGGUCAAGAAUCUCAAAUAGACCAAUAAAUCGUGGAUUGAGCUUUCCUCUCGUCCCGAAUCUUGUAACUCCUUUCCAUGGAGCAACACGUAACAAUACAUGAUCCCCAAUAUUAAAUUCAACGUCCUUUCGAUGAAGAUUCGUAUAACUCUUUUGUUGAUCCUGUGCCGUUUGUAUACGUUGUCGGAUCAUUUGAAUUUUUUCUGUAGUCAUACGUACCAACUCUGGUCCCAGUAAUGUUGCUUCACCCACUUCAUCUCAACAUACUGGAGAGUGACACUUUCGUCCAUACAAUGCUUCAAAUGGAGCCACACCUAUACUUGCCUGAUAACUGUUGUUGUAGAAGAAUUCCACCAAUGGUAAGUACUUAUCCCAACUCCCUUUGAAGUCUAGGGCACAGAGUUUUAAUAGAUCUUCAAGAGUUUGAAUAGUCCUCUUUGAUUGUCCGUCCGUUUGAGGAUGGUAUGCCGAACUGAAUCAUAAAUCAGUGCCCAUAGCUUUCUGCAAGCUAAUCCAAAAUCAUGAAGUGAAUCUUGGGUCACGAUCCUAAACUAUGGAUACUGGCAUGCCAUGCAACCUCACAAUCUUAUUCACGUACAUACAAGCAAGACGUUCAAGGGAAUAAGUUUCUCGUAUAGGUAAGAAAUGAGCAGACUUGGUUAAUCUAUCAACAAUAACCCAAAUUGCAUCUAUGCCUUGAGAAACCUUGGGAAGACCAGUAACGAAAUCCAUAUUAAUGUGCUCCCACUUCCAUUUUGGAAUCUCAAGUGGUUGCAAUGGACCUUUUGGUACUUGAUGCUUCACCUUGACAUGUUUACAAGUUAAACAUCUUGAGAUAAACUCCGCGCUCUCUCUCUCUUCAUAUUGCUCCACCAAAAUGUAUGUCGAAGAUCACAAUACAUUUUAGUACUUCCAGGAUGGAUUGAAAACGGUGUGUUGUGUGCCUUCAUCAUGAUCUUGUACUUCAAAUCAGAGUCCUUAGGAACACAAAGUCUUGAGUUGACUCGAAGUAUUCUUUCUUCAUCGAUUCUUGCUUCUGGAAUAAUACCUGCUUAUACUUUCUUCUUCAUACGCAUCAGCUCUAGGUCUGUGGCUUGAGCAGCUUUAACUUUAUCAAUUAAAGUUGGUUCUAUGCGUAUACUUGACAUCAUCACAUGGGUCCCCGGAGUCUUGAACUCUAUCUUCAUCUUUUGUAAAUCACACAAAAUGGGCCUUGUGCUGACAUCAUCGCACUCGUUCCCGCAUAUGAUCUUCUACUCAAUGCGUCAGCUACCACGUUCGCUUUUCCAGGAUGGUAUUGAAUGGUAUGGUCGUAAUCUUUCAACAGCUCAAGCCAACAUCAUUGUCGCAUGUUAAGUUCCUUUUGGGUGAAGAAAUAUUUGAGACUUUUAUGAUCUGAAUAUAUAUCCACUUUCUUCCCAUAUAGAUAGUGCCUCCAAAUCUUUAGCGCGAACGACUGCUGCCAACUCUAGAUCAUGAGUGGGAUAAUUCCUCUCAUAUUCUUUGAGUUUUUGCGAGGCAUAGGCUAUGAAUUUUCCAUGUUGCAUGAGAACACAUCCUAACCCUUUGCCUGAAGUAUCGUUGUAGAUAACAAAUCCCUCCAAACCUGAUGGUAUUGUCAGAACAGGUGCUAAAAUAAGUCUCCUCUUGAUUUCUUGAAAACUCUUCUCACAUUCCUCGCUCCAUUCGAAUUUUGUAUCUUUCUGAGUCAGCUAAGUUAAUGGAGUAGUGAUUCGAGAAAAUCCUUCAACGAAUCUCUGAUAAUAACCAGCUAAGCCCAGAAAGCUACGAACUUCGAUUACUGUCUUAGGUUGCUCCCAACUUUUUAUUGCUUCAAUCUUUGCUGGGUCAACUGAUAUUCCAUACUUCGAUACCACAUGCCCAAGGAAGGCUACUUCUUCAAGCUAGAACUCACAUUUCUUGAACUUGGCAUAUAGCUUAUUUUCAUGAAGCUUUUAGAGUAUCAACCUCAAGUGUUGCUCAUGAUCUUCACGACUUUUGGAAUAGAUGAGGAUGUCAUCAAUAAAGACAACAACAAAAUGAUCCAAAUAUUCCUUGAAUACUUGGUUCAUCAUAUCCAUGAAAGGCGCGGGAGCAUUAGUCAAUCCAAAAGACAUGACUAAGAAUUCAUAAUUCUCAUAACGAAUCCUGAAGGCAGUCUUCGUAAUAUCCUCAGUUUUAAUCUUUAGCUGAUGAUAUCCGGAACUAAGAUCGAUUUUUGAGAAGAAUUUAGCACCUUGCAACUGAUCAAACAGGUUAUCAAUGCAAGGUAGUGGGUACCUAUUUUUGAUGGUGACAUGGUUCAACUCCCGAUAGUCAAUGCAAAGUCGCAUAUUCCCAUCUUUCUUCUUUACGAAUAAAACAGGAGCACCCCAAGGUGAUGUAUUAGGACGAAUGAAACCAAUAUCCAAUAACUCUUGUAGUUGGGUUUUUAACUCUUGAAGUUCAAUAGGAGCCAUUCGAUAUGGGGUUUUGGAAAUAGGUUUUGAACUGGGUUCAAGGUCGAUACAAAAUUCGAUAUCACGCUCAGGGGUAGGUCAGGAAGUUCUUCAGAAAAUAUGUCAAGAAAUUCACUAACAACAGAAAUACCAUUCAAGUCUGACGUAUUUUUGUUUAACUCCAUGACAUGGGCUAAGAAAGCUUGACAUUCAUUUUUUAAUAAACGAAUGGCUUUAUGGCUUGAUAUGACAGUGAUUGACUUUAGUGGUUUGGUUGUUUGAAUUCGUAUAACAGGUUGGUUAGGAAUAUGAAAACUAACAACCUUACGAAAAUAAUCAAUUUUAGCAUGAUGGGUGGUUAACCAAUCAAUCCCUAAAAUCACAUCAAAUGCAAGUAUUUUCAAAGAAAUGAGAUCAACAUGUAAUGUGAUGGUCCCAACUUGAAUCAAGUAAGAUUUAUAAACAGUGGAUGUAAUGAAAGUUUCUCCUAAUGGAGUUUCAACAGAUAAGUCACAGUCUAAUUUCUUAUGUGUCAGGUUCAAACGUUGAGCACGAGCAAGAGAGAUAAAAGAAUGGGUAGAACCGGUAUCUAAUAAGGUAUAAACUUCGUAAGAGUUUAUGAUUAGCUUACCCGUGAUCACCUCGUUUGGGUUUCUCGCAUUGUGGGCUGUCACGACAAACACUCUUCCAGAAACUGCUGACUUUGACUUGUCUGGGGCAGCCUUUGGAGUCACCAUCCCCGCUGGAUUUGGUUUCGCUACAAGACAAUCUCGAGCUAUAUGACUUUCCUUUCCACAGUUAUAACACACCUUGGAUUGUUGUGGGCAGUUUGGACUGAUGUGUCCCUCUUUCCCGCAUUUAUAACAUACAAUCGGUGGUCGUUCUCUUCCCCUAGAAACAGUUGAUGUUGGUGCUGACGUCUUCACGUUGUCAUUGGUGUACCUUCUCUUUUUGAAAUCUCCCCCCGACUUGCUUCUUCUACUAUCAUGGGCACGAUUACCACUAGAGUGGUUACCACUUUUGUCCGGAUAUUUUCCUCCCCGCUGGUUGUUGUUGCUCCGAUGACUGCUGCCACCGAUACGACCUUAGUUGUGGUCCCCCGGUUGAACAGACUCAUUAUCUCGCUCUAACAAUUGAGCCUUGUUCACAACAUUUGAAUAUAGAGAAAAUUUGUGAGAAAUGAGGUAUUGACGAAUGUCGGGUUUUAAACCUCUCAGAAACAUCCACGUCAUACGUUCCUCAUUCUCUACCAAAUGAGGUGCAAACUGGGAUAACUCCGCGAACUUAGCCUCGUACUGGGACACAGUCAUGUUGUUCUGUUCCAGCCUGAUAAACUCUACCUCUUUCAUAUGACAGAUACUUUCAGGAAAGUACUUGUCAUUGAACAGUUUCUGAAAUGCUUCCCAAGACAUAUUGAGUGCGGCAGGCUGGGUACGCUUUACAAAUUCCCACCAGUAAUCUACCUCACCACGGAACAUAAAGGUGGCAAAUGGAACCUUCUGUUCCUCCGUGCAUCUCAAAACAUCAAAUAUCUUGAUAAUUUGUUUAACCCAAGUUUCUGCCUUGAUCGGAUCCGGCUUUUCCAAAAACUCCGGCGGUCCCAACUCCUUGAAUUUCUUAGCAGUGAUCAGCUGUGAGUUGCCAUUAUUUCUACCUGCAUUUUGAACAUGAGUCUCUCGUCUGGUUUUGCAUGAACCGCAAAAAGCUUCUAAAUAUCUCAUCGUUCAUCGUCUGAUCAGUGGUGUUGUUUACAGGAGGAACAUUGUCGUCCUAUUGCACGUUCUCCUAGUUGGUGAUUGAAGGUAUCUCCACGGUCUCAUUCACUCCAUUGUUAACAUUUUCAACUACCAUUCUUAAAUACUGCCACAAAACAAGGGUUAAUUAAAGAAAUUUACAUGCCACAUAAUAACCCUAUAUUCUGACCAACCAACAAAUAAGCUUAGGUGGGACAUACUAGCGAAAGAUUUACUCGUCUCUCCCCUCCUAGUUCUAUUUCCCGAUCUCCGUCAGAGACCAUAUCCCUAAGCUCUGAUACCAACUGUGACGCCCCCAAAAUAGGUCCACACAACCCAUUCUGAGUCACCAAAUACAUGGUACAUAAAUAACUACAACUUCAUUAUUACAAUUGUCGUGCAAAAUACGAUAACACAUAUACUGUGAGUUUAAAUACAAAUAUUGUCUUCUAGACAAUAUCCACACUCAAAUAAGUCCUCAUUAUAAUUAUUGAUACACUAUUUUACAAAAUAGUGAGGACUGCUAAACAACUUUCUAGAACCAUCAUUUCAUACCCCAACUAGUUCCCGCUAUAUUCUCGCCUCCUAAAAAGAAAAAUGGAACAAAAAGAAAAAGGGUGAGCUCAACUAGCCUAGUAAAGAACAUUAUGACUAAGAUAAUGUAGAAUAAAUUAUCGUUAGUCCUCAACAGGGAAAAAUCUGAUAGAAUAUAAUAGAUAACAAGUUUAUAUCAAUAUUCGCAGUGGAAAUAACAAUUCAUUAGAAGAGUUAAGUAGAGAAUGAAGUCUACUAUCUUCUAUGAUUUUAAAGUCCAUCAUCAAUAUUUUAUUCCUGUGACAUCAAUCAAUAUACAUCUUGAACCAAAUAUUCAUCUUUGAAUUACGGGGCAAAGAUAUUCAUUAAUAUCACCAGUUGGUCAUGUUCAUCUCAACAACUAUCCAUCUUUACAUUACGGGCCAAAGAUAUUCAUCAGGUAAUCAUUCAUCUUUGCACUACAGGCCAAAGAUAUUCAGUUAUAUCAGUGAGAUAAAAGGACAAGGAUUAGGGAUUCGUACUUUAGUUCAUCCAAGUUUAAAAAUACUCCACAAUAAACCAUUAUGGAGCAAAAUUCAAGAAUUAAAAUAAAACAUGGAUACAAUCAAAGCUAGUAACCAUAAUAGACAACUUGGACAAAGAAAAGAAAAUUUAAUUUUUUUUGUGAAUAGUGUCGUAUACGUGAAUAGUAACCCCAACACAAAAAGGUAAAAAUUUUACCAAUAUUCCGAUAUAAUGAUAUUGAAAGAAAUAACAUCAUUUACGGAAAAAAAAANNNNNNNNNNNNNNNNNNNNNNNNNNNNNNNNNNNNNNNNNNNNNNNNNNNNNNNNNNNNNNNNNNNNNNNNNNNNNNNNNNNNNNNNNNNNNNNNNNNNCCUCAAAAAGACCGUACUUCUAACUGGAAUAUCGGAUAUAAUGCUGAAGGAAACUUGCACGGUAUAGCAACACUCAAAGUAUCAAAAUACUCACAAAAAUACGCUCGAUAAUAUAGAGAGAAAACUUCAGAUUCUGGUGUGAUUUUCAAUUCUAACCUAAACACCCUAUUUAUAAGAAAAUGCUUAGAACACCAAAGCAGAAAAUUUAAUAAAAUAAUAUGAUAUAAAAAAAAAAUUCACGUCCACCCUUGACAAUCUGAUUUCAGCCACCAGUGGGACUCACCAAAAUGAAAAAAAACGUUUUUCUUUAAAAAAAUAUUUAAAACUCCAAAAAAUAAUUAUUCCGGAACUUCAAUAAUUCAUAAUAAAUAGCCCUUUUAUCAGAAAAAUUCGAAUCGUAUGUCCAUUCUAUAGGAAAUUUAAUUUUCUACAACUUUUUAGAAGAAAAAUUUUCCAAAUUCCAAACAAAAAUUGACCGAAAUUCACAUACGGACAAUUUUGCAGGCUAUAAUCAAAUUUCAGUCAAAAUGGGGCCCACCAACAUAUUAAACAUGUUUUUUGUAACAAAAAUAUUUUUCCUCCUCAUUUAUUCAUAUAUCUCACAUUCAUUGUAAAAAUAUCAUCAUUAUUAUAAUAUUAUAUUAUCGCAUUAUACAUUUAUACUGUAAUAUAAUAAUAUAUAUUUGAAUGAAUUAUUUUAUCAGAAAAGAUAAAAUAUCAAUUUUCAACAAUUGUCACUUUUCUAAAAAAUCCUCCAUUUAUAUCCACAUAAAAUAAAUAUUUUUCUUAUCAUAUAAAUCAAUAAUUAAUUAUUCACAAAUAAUAUAACAGAAUCACAAUAAUGACAACCAGGUCGUUCCCAGGAAAGAGGAGGCUUUCAUAUAAGGAUUUCUCCUUACUGGUGUGCAAUUAGACGACCUAACCCCUUUCCUAGACAGAACUUCCUUAGACAUUGCCAAUAAUAUGCUAUCCAAUAAUAUUAUUCAAAAAAUAUAAAUUAUUGAUCUAAUAAUAAAAAUAUUGUGCAGUGACAAUUAUUGAAUCAAUAAAAUAAAACAUCAACGUAACAAUUAUUGAAUUAAUAAAAUAUUGAACAGUAAUUACUGUAACAAUUAUUGAGUAGUGACUUCUUACGUAAGAAUCAAUAAUUGGUGCAAUACCGUGUGCUACUGUGCAACACCGUGUAUUACUGUGUUUUAACCACCAGGUAUUUUAACAGUGUUAAAGGUAACAACUACGCCGUUAUUUAUAAAAAACUCAUACUUGUCGUUUUUUUCACCCGAUCGUUUUUUGUUAUUGGGCCCCAAAAGGCUGCGCCGUCGUAUGAAUAUUCCCCGACAACAAAAAUAUUCCACGACCAAAUGAAUAUUCCCCGACAACAAUGAAUAUUUUAUAACCACUUGCUUAUUUAAAAUAUUUGCGCAUUUUACCCAUAACUAACCACAUUAAUCAAAUCAACCCCUUACUAUUUCAAAAUAAUAAAUAGAGAAAAUUCCAUUUUAUUCAUAAAAGUUGGGGUCUUACACCAAUUGUCUGAUCCGCUCCAAAACAGUCCAACUCUCCAACCUUCAGCCACCAUUUUCCAUCUCCAAUCCACGAUCCUCCUCCUCCGUCUCUUCAGCAAACAUUAAGAAGAAGAAGAUCUAGAUAUCUUUUCGAGUUUAUAACAAAAGAUAAAAGUAGUGUAAUUGUAAUUAUAAGUUUAUAAUCAGAAUAAAAAAAUAAAAAAUUUUAAAGUAAAGUUUUUUAAUAAAUGAAUGUUAAUUUUAUUAUUUUUAAUAAAUAUAAUGAUUAAUGUUUUAAAUUAUAAUUUGAGUAAGUUUUUAUCAUUUUUGAAAUAUAAAAUUUUAAAAUGAAUACUUUAAUUACAACUAUAGCUAGAAUAAGAAAAAAAUAAUGAGUUUUAAAGUAUAGUAUUAAUAAAUGAAUGUUAAUUUAUUUAUUUUUAAUAAAUACAACAAUCAAUAAUCAAUAAUCUAAAUUACAAUUCAAAUAACUUUUCAUCAUUUUUGAAAUUCUAAAUUUUAAUUUUAAAAUGAAUGCUCUAAUUACAAUUUUAAAUAGAAUAAGAAAAAAAUAAUGAAUUUUAACGUAUAGUUCAUUAAUUCUAAAUUAGUAUAUAUAUAUAUAUAUAUAUAUAUAUAUAUAUAUGGGUUCUAAUUCAUGGCAAUCGGUUGUUAGAAGUACUAUUCCAGCAACCAUAAUCUCCAGCGUUUUCCGUCAUUGAUUAAUAUAAGUAAUGGUUGAGAUUGAAAAAAAUAAAAGUCUUACCGCUACAAGUUGUAGCGAUAGUAAUUACACUUACUUUAGUAGAUUAGUGAGUGUAAUUACUACCACUACAAUUUUAGCGGCAAUACUUUUAUUUUUUUCAAUUUCAGCCAUUAAUUAUAUUGAUUAACGAUAGAGAUGAUGGUUGCUGGAAUAAUACUCCUAACAACCGGUUGUCAUGAAUUAGAAACAUAUAUAUAUAUAUACACACACUUUAAAAUUUACAAUAUUUAUAAUCUAUAAUUAGAUUCAAAAGUUUACAUUGAAUAUUUAAUUCUUUUUUUCAAAAUUAUAUUGUCUAUUGCUCCCGCCUCUCGACAUCGCAAUUAAGUUUUUUAAGUAAAAAAAUUGUAACAAGUUAAUAAUUAUAGUUUGGUAAGUUAAUAUAUAGAGCAAUAUGGUCAUACACAGCUGUGUAUAAUUUAUUUAUGCAUAGUUUGCCAAAAUUAUGUCGUUUUGGCAGAUUUUUUUUAUUUAUUAAAAAACAGUUUCUUUCCUUCUAAAUCAGAAAUCAAAAACAAUUAUGCCAAAACAACAGAGUUUUGAAAGACUGUGAAUAUACACAGCUAUAUAUAUAUAUGGGCCCCCAUUCUUGGCAAUUGGUUGUCACGUGUACUAUUUUAACAACCAUAAUUUAUAUCGUUGAUCGCAACAUUGGAUGGCACGGAUUGAAAUGGAUUUCCCCCUGCCGCUACAGGCUGUAGCGAUAUGAAAAAUUACUCAUUUGUCCCUCAUUUGCUCAUGUGCUACACUGUCUAUCGCUACAAGUUAUGGUGGUAGUUUAGUUAACUAAUAAAUUAGAAUGACUCAGUGGUAACUUAAUGGCCCAAUAACUUAUAGAUCUUAGGUUCGAAACCUAGCUAUGAUUUUUUUGCUUCUUAUGUUAUAUUUUUUGUGUAUUAGAUAAAUUUUAUUACCAUAUAUAUAUAUAUAUAUAUAUAUAUAUAUAUAUAUAUAUAUAGGAACCGGAUCAGGUCCGGGAGUCCGGACCUGAUCAGUCUGUACAGGCAUGUUUUGUUAUAUGUAUCCAAAACACACUCAAAACACUGUAUUAUGUAAAAAUUCAAGUUUCAUAAUUUUUUUUUUAGGUGUUUUCAAAAAAAAAAGGACCGAAUUUUAAACCUGUCCGGGAGUCCGGACAGGAUCCGGUUCCUAUAUAUAUAUAUAUGGUAGUAAAAUUUAUCUAAUACAUAAAAAAUAUAGUACAUGAAGAAUGAAAAAAAAUUAAUAUUGACUUAUAAGUAAAAAAAAAAGUUCAAAUUUAAGUUAUUGUUAAACACUAAAUAAUAACAAAUGACUUAUAACUUAGUUUGACCAACUUAUAAGUCAUUGCCAAACAUCCUCUAAUUCAAGAUAUAAAGAGAAAUUAAUAUUUGAUUAUAAAAAAAUUUACAAGUCAAGGAAAAGGAGAAUUUGAAAAAGGGGAGUUAAAAAAGAACUUAUACACCAUUGGUGUAACUUAAUUGGUCUAUGCCGGAACCAUUGGCGCGACUUAAUCGGUACAGUUUGGUCGAAUUUUGGUGCAAUUUUGGGAGCGAUUUUGAUUCCUUGUCAAAAAGUAUAUAUGUAAAAUAACGAGUUACAAUAAAAAUUCAUAUAAAUUAUUUUAGAAAUUAAUUAUAUUUUUUUUCAAAAUUAUAAAUGUGUGAAUAUGAUCAUUAUAAACUACAUCCAAUUAACUGGAAACUUUAAUUUUUAUAAAUUAGAAAAUAUAUCUAUUAUGUGCUCAAUUUUAAUUUCAAAAAUUAUAACUUUAAAGGCAUUUAUUUUGAGACGGACGGAGUGAAACAUUUCAUUGUAUAAAAUUGUGUCCAAAUAUAUAAAAAAAAUAAAUGAAAAAUGAUGCGUUUUGGGGGGAAAAAAGAGGCAUACUUAGUGGAUUUGUCUUAAUUUUGGGCAACAAUUUACUAGUCGUUGCAAAAAAAUGUGUUAAAUACGCAACGAAAAAAUUGUUGCCAAUGAAUGUGGCCUAUAUUAUGCAACGAAAUAUAGCAACAAAAAAGUUUUCAUUGCCGAUGAUGAGGAGAAUUCUCAUCGGCAACAAAAAAGAAAAUAGGCGGUGUGUUUUUUCCCCCCAACGAUUUGGCAACGAAUUUUUGCAACGACUUAUGAAUUUCAUUACGAAAAAUGAAAGUCUUUCAUAAACUGCAACGGAUGAAAAAUUUCGUUGCUAAACAUGUCGUUGCCCGAAAAAUUAUUGCCAAAUGUCUAUUUUUUUUGUAGUGCAUUUCUUCUGGCCAGACAUAGAUGUAAAAUAUUUCAAUUUUUUUAUAAUAAGUCUUGAAAUAUUAUUGUGUCAUGAUUUAGGCUAUCCAGCUAUAUUGUUGUAGUUUGGAUUCUAAACUGAGAAUGAACAUACCCUGAAAUGGGUUAUUUUUAUUGCAGUUUGGGAGUGGUGACGUUGAACAUGAAAAUUGUUCUGGAUAAGAUAAAAUUGAUCAAUACAGGCAUAAAGGGUUGAUCACUCUCUGUGCUCGUAAGAUAAGACGGUUCACAGAUAAAAUUUUUGAUUGAACCUUUUCGAGAAAAGAAAAAUAUGUUCAUAGUCUUAUGACCUCUCAGUUAUUCAAUAUUGUUAUGAUAUUACAGAAAUGUGAAUGAUUCAAGAUUUAUUGCUUUACAGUUUUGAUUCACUGUCAAAGCAUGCCUCAAAAAAAACAUUUAUUGCUUGUUGAGCUCUUAAAGAAUGCUAUUACUUGCUGAGCAAUUGAAUGCUUAUACUUGUUUUGUUAUAAAUGUUUUCAGCUGAGCAGACUCAAGCAGAAGGGUCUAGGAGGGACAAUGGGAAAGGAAAAGUAACAGAAUAGCUGGG